UAUGCCCUCUUUCUUCUCCAAUCUACUGUCCUGUUUGCUGCUCUGCUGAUGGUUGUGUCUGCUGCUAUUCGGUCUGGCCGCUGCCGUCGGGGCCGUCCUCCUGGGAUUCGGGCAGCCGUUAUUGCCCACGUGCACCGUGCUGCCAGUCGCCUACCUUCGGAUUUGCCAUCGGCGACGGCAGCCGCUGGUGCGCGUGGUCGCCCGGGUGCAGUUGAUUCGGCAUGUCGUCCUCGGUUUGGUUCUCGCCGAGCGUUUCGUUCUUCCCGGAGUGGUGAGUUCCUUUGCCUUCCUGUAUUUGUAGAUCUCUCCGUAUUGAUUUCAUGCUUCUUCGUUUGGUUUGUGCGUUUUCUUAAUUGGUUGCUUCAUGCUGUAGCCGACCACCGAUUCGACUCGUGGCAUGGUGCCAAUCUGGACGUUGAUAGUCGCCGUCGGGAAAUUUUAUUAGGCAAGCGGCCUGUAGAUUGCACCAUUGGUGAGUGCAUUCAAUCUUUUGCUACGUGUAUGAGAGUGCCUGUGCGUGUUUCUGGUUGGUCCGUUGCGUUUCUCCAAGACUUUGCUGUUGGCAUGUCCCUCUACGACUCCUCGACCGUCGGGCCCCCGUUUUCCUUCCCGGAGCUGGCCACUCCAUCGCCCUUCCGACAGACGCAUCCCCUCCGCCUUCGCUUUGCGUAUGUGGGAUCACACUACCACUGAUCAUAUGGCUGGUUCCUCAGGUCGGGCACCAGAUGCUCCGAACCUGCCAUAUCAUGCUCGGCUAUGGCGGGAACGAGACGAUCGCCUGGGCCACCUCCCAUGGUCCUCGGCAACUCCAAAUAAGAGGUGAGAAAUCACGCACACCCGCAUGUGUUCGAUAUCGUGUGCAAUGAUCAUAGUAGAGCUUCUGGGUCUCGAUCAUCACAAACGUGAACAUGACAGGAAGGACAGACGGCGUAGGAAAGGCGCGCGAUCGAGAGACGGCCGCCUCUGGCAUCACAAGACCUCGAUGUCGCCAUGGCAGUCAGACGCGUGAUGCGUCCGACAACGCGCCCUCACUCUCAGACAAGUUGCAGCCGUUCUCCGACGACGACGCUUGCGGCUUGCCCAGCCGCCCUACGCAGCCCUCCCGCCCUCAGCGUGCGAGGUCGCUACGGCCCGGCUACCUUGCGCCCUCUCGCUGUCUCUCUGACCGCAGCCCGGCGCCGCCUUCCAGCGUAGAUGGGAGGCCGCCGCCUUGAGCUCGCGCCAGCCCUGCUGCAAGUCAGCCAUGGACGAGGUCGACCUGCACAGACGGGAGACGGCGCAGAGUGUUGGCCGCGCUUGCCGCCGUGGCGAUGGGCAUGGCCAGGCCAAUACGAUGAUGGACGAGAUGGUCUACAUCAUGAACAACAAGUAAGUGCACGAUGACACCCUUGCGGCCUCGCCAAAACCCCUGUGCCCCAGGCCGUAUCUCUGGCUACUCCUCCAGCGGCUCCGCCGUCGCCGUCGCCUGAAGCCUAGCUGACUUCGCCCUGGGCACAGAAAGUGGCGGCAGCGUCAGGGUGCCCGCUGCCUAUUGCGGCAUCUGCAGGCUCCGGCCCUCCCACGGACUGGUGUGCACUGAAUAUGUCGUCCUGGUGGCACAUAUGUUCGACACUGUCGGUUUCAGUUAUGCUUAUGCGAUAUUUGCCCCGCGAUGGAGCCAGUCGAACGUAUGUUGCUUUCACUGCAGGGCCGGGUCGAGCUGUGGAAUGCCCUGGGGCUACUCACUAAAGCACUAUACUCCUCCUACUCAUUGUCUUUCUUCCCUUCGAGGUUUAGGACAGUUCGUAAUACGCGUCUUCGAUAGUAUGCACAUCUCCAAAACAGUAUCCUGCAUGAGCAUUGCAGAGGUGUGGACCAAAGACGUUGUCAUGAAGGGCUUGACAUAUUCCUCAAAAAAAAAGUGUGAGUUGAGUGCUUCAGAUUAUCUCAUGUUUUCAAGGCCUCAAAACAAUGAUCCAUGCAGCCCAUCAUUUUUUAUCUGACACAGCAAGUGUCUGACUUUGCAAUAGUGUCCUUUUCUCAAAAAAAAAAAAGCAAGUGUCCUAGAAAUUAGAUAGAUUUUAUUUUUCAUGUCUGCAACUUACUUUGAUAAGGUUCAUCGAUCUGCUAAUACAAACGUCCAUGGCUGGGACAAAUUAGGUGUUUGUGUGUCAAGUCUCGGUGUGUUAUGGGAUGCAGUUCCACUCUGUGUGGUGAGCCAACUUUUGACUGGUUGUAAAUAUAUAUAUAUAGUUUCUUAAUAUAUAAGACGGUUUUUUUUUAUUGUAAAAAUAUUUUUUUUAAAUAUAAAUCCCCAUUUCAUCAAAAAGGGAAAAAGAAAUUGUGAGCUUGCUGUUGUUAUCCCCUGUUUUUUUGUGAAUAAUGUUGUGUAUACAGUUUUACUAUGGAAAAGUUGUGGUUGUGUGGCCAUGUGGAUAUUCCUGUUACUUUUUCUGUUCCAUGCGAUAUGACUACUUGAGAUGUUUUAAUGAGUCAGGGAACAUAUAAAACACAUCCAGCGUAAAAUAUGAAGCUAUACAUAAACCACCAACGACGCGCGACGAGAACUGGCGGUCUCGCGAAGUAAGGGCAUAUCCAUGCACUUAAUUUCAUCUUUAAUUCCACAUCCUUAUAAUUUUCUAAAGUGCAGAAUCCCAUCUAGGGACUUCCAGUAUUUUCUCUUUCAUCGGUAACUUCCACUUGAAUCCGUUCCCAAUGGAAGGUGUGUGAUAUAUACUACAUCCCUUUUUGCAUAUCCUAUUUUUGAAAAUAUGCGUCGCUUAUCUACCAUUGAUGACUCUAACUUCAUAUCAG
rnacentral:lncRNA from 1 species